rnacentral:rRNA from 1 species
AUGUUUCAGCUACUUAGGACAAGGCGACCAUUCAUUGCAGAAUUUACUGAUGCCAAGGGUAAUGAGAUAUUCACGGUUCGCCGGCCUUUUAGGUGGAUCAACAGCUCCAUUUAUGCAGAAGUGAAUGGCAAGGAGGUAGGUGUAGUCCACAGUCGUUGGCAUCUUUGGCGUAGAAAUUAUGACUUGUACUUAGGGAAUAGGCAGUUUGCUGUGGUGGAGAAUCCUGGAUUUUGGAGCUGGUCCUUUACCCUGCUUGAUGAGGAUGAUAAUUUAGUAGCCAUAAUUGAUCGCAAGAUUAGGGGAGUUGGUUUGGAGCCCUGCACGGGUGCUGCCCAGUAUGAAGUUUGGUUUGGUGAUGCUGGAAAAGGCACAGAUAAAGGUUUUUGUCUCGCUAAAGAUAUGCACAACGACCUUCGCGUCUUUCUCCCGCUGGAUUUACCCGAGAGGGCUGUGGCUCUUGCUCUUGCUGUGUCUCUGGACCAUGACUGCUUCUCCAGGAGAUUGGGCUGGUGUUCACCUCCUGUUGCUAUAGAG